rnacentral:rRNA from 1 species
CCUACGGGGGGCAGCAGUGGGGGAUAUUGCACAAUGGGGGGAACCCUGAUGCAGCGACGCCGCGUGGGUGAAGGAGUGCUUCGGCAUGUAAAGCCCUAUCGGCAGGGAAGAAGCAAGACGGUACCUGACUAAGAAGCCCCGGCUAACUACGUGCCAGCAGCCGCGGUAAUACGUAGGGGGCGAGCGUUAUCCGGAUUCACUGGGUGUAAAGGGAGCGUAGACGGCCAUGCAAGCCAGGGGUGAAAGCCCGGGGCUGAGCUCCGGGACUGCUUUUGAAACUGUUGAACUAGAUUGCAGGAGAGGUAAGUGGAAUUCCUAGGGGAGCGGUGAAAUGCGUAGAUAUUAGGAGGAACACCAGUGGCGAAGGCGGCUUACUGGACUGUAAAGGACGCUGAGGCUCGAAAGCGUGGGGAGCAAACAGGAUUAGAUACCCCAGUAGUC